rnacentral:rRNA from 1 species
CUGAUUCAGGGAGGUAGUGACAAGAAAUAACAACUCGGGGCCUCACGGCUUACGAGAUUGCAAUGAGAACAAUUUAAAUCUCUUAGCGAGGAACAAUUGGAGGGCAAGUCUGGUGCCAGCAGCCGCGGUAAUUCCAGCUCCAAUAGCGUAUAUUAAAGUUGUUGCAGUUAAAAAAGCUCGUAGUUGAAUUUCUGAUUAUGGAUGUAGCGGUUUCCGUUACAUUUGUAGUCAUCCACAUGAGAACCUUUCUCGGCCUUCACUGGUCGGUUGGGGGAUCAUGUACUUUACUUUGAAAAAAUCAGAGUGUUUCAGGCAGGCGUUUGCAUGAAUACACAAGCAUGGAAUAAUGGAAUAGGACUAGGGUCCAUUUAUUGGUUAUUGGACCAUAGUAAUGAUUAUAGGGACAGUUGGGGGCAUUAGUAUUUAAUUGUCAGAGGUGAAAUUCUUGGAUUUUA